rnacentral:rRNA from 1 species
CAGCAGCCACGGUAAUACGAAGGGUGCAAGCGUUACUCGGAAUUACUGGGCGUAAAGCGUGCGUAGGUGGUGGUUUAAGUCCGUUGUGAAAGCCCUGGGCUCAACCUGGGAAUUGCAGUGGAUACUGGGUCACUAGAGUGUGGUAGAGGAUAGUGGAAUUUCCGGUGUAGCAGUGAAAUGCGUAGAGAUCGGAAGGAACAUCUGUGGCGAAGGCGACUAUCUGGGCCAACACUGACACUGAGGCACGAAAGCGUGGGGAGCAAACAGGAUUAGAGACCCCCGUAGUCCCUGUCUCUUAUAC